CGCAGCGAGGAAGUCAGCAGCAAUCAGGAUUAAGCAGUUUGGCACCAGGGGCACGGAGAAAGUUUUCUCCACAGCAUUACAGUGCUUCCAAAGGGCACAAGGUCACCUAGAACCAGGAAGCUCUCUUCUACUGAACAGAAGGGAUGGCAGUAAUGCUGAUCACAGGGAUACAGGCAUGUUUGCGAGACAUGUUUUGGGGCCCAUUCAGCCCAUUCUUGCCAGAGCAGAAGGGGAAGAUAUUAGGGAGGAAACAGGAAUGGGGGUGGCACAAGCUUCAACC